rnacentral:lncRNA from 1 species
AUCUAACAUCCUAGGUUACCAAUUAGCACAAAUCAACAUCAUAAAACAAGAUCACAUAUAGAUACACAUGUAUGUCAUCUUCUUCCUCAAACUAACACUUUUCAUUUUUCACUUCUCAACCUCAAGCUUCAAUCUCAUCCAUCAUUAAUCAUCUAGAUCAUCUCAUAAACUCAAAUCCAUCAUCAAUACAUCAAUUGAUCCAUAGGAUCUCAACAUCCCAAUUUUAGGUAAACUAACAUAAUAGAAAAAUCUAUAUCUCAU